rnacentral:rRNA from 1 species
AAUGAACGCUGGCGGCAGGCCUAACACAUGCAAGUCGAACGGAUCCUUCGGGAUUAGUGGCGGACGGGUGAGUAACGCGUGGGAACAUACCCUUUGGUACGGAAUAGCCUCGGGAAACUGGGAGUAAUACCGUAUGUGGUCGAGAGGCGAAAGAUUUAUCGCCAAAGGAUUGGCCCGCGUUGGAUUAGGUAGUUGGUGGGGUAAUGGCCUACCAAGCCGACGAUCCAUAGCUGGUUUGAGAGGAUGAUCAGCCACACUGGGACUGAGACACGGCCCAGACUCCUACGGGAGGCAGCAGUGGGGAAUCUUAGACAAUGGGGGAAACCCUGAUCUAGCCAUGCCGCGUGAUCGAUGAAGGCCUUAGGGUUGUAAAGAUCUUUCAGGUGGGAAGAUAAUGACUGUACCACCAGAAGAAGCCCCGGCUAACUCCGUGCCAGCAGCCGCCGUAAUAC